rnacentral:rRNA from 1 species
AGCAGGCGCGCAAAUUACCCACUCCCGGCACGGGGAGGUAGUGACGAAAAAUAACGAUACGGGACUCAUCCGAGGCCCCGUAAUCGGAAUGAGUACACUCUAAACCCUUUAACGAGUAUCCAUUGGAGGGCAAGUCUGGUGCCAGCAGCCGCGGUAAUUCCAGCUCCAAUAGCGUAUAUUAAAGUUGUUGCGGUUAAAAAGCUCGUAGUUGGACUUGUGUCCCACGCUGUCGGUUCACCGUUCGUCGGUGUUAACUGGCACGCUUGUGCGGACGUCCUGCCGGUGGAUGCGGUCGGCCGCGGGCCUCUGGUCUGCGUGUCGGCGGUCCGAUGCAAUCCUACCGCGGUGCUCUUCACCGAGUGUCGAGGUGGGCCGGCACGUUUACUUUGAACAAAUUAGAGUGCUCAAAGCAGGCAGUGGUUCGCCUGAAUAUUGUGUGCAUGGAAUAAUGGAAUAGGACCUCGGUUCUAUUUUGUUGGUUUUCGGAACCUGAGGUAAUGAUUAAUAGGGACAGACGGGGGCAUUCGUAUUGCGACGUUAGAGGUGAAAUUCUUGGAUCGUCGCAAGACGAACCUAAGCGAAAGCAUUUGCCAUGAGUGUUUUCAUUAAUCAAGAACGAAAGUUAGAGGUUCGAAGGCGAUCAGAUACCGCCCUAGUUCUAACCAUAAACGAUGCCAGCUAGCGAUCCGCCGAAGUUCCUCCGAUGACUCGGCGGGCAGCUUCCGGGAAACCAAAGCUUUUGGGUUCCGGGGGAAGUAUGGUUGCAAAGCUGAAACUUAAAGGAAUUGACGGAAGGGCACCACCAGGAGUGGAGCCUGCGGCUUAAUUUGACUCAACACGGGAAACCUCACUAGGCCCGGACACCGGAAGGAUUGACAGAUUGAUAGCUCUUUCUUGAUUCGGUGGGUGGUGGUGCAUGG